GUAGGUGGCAAGCGUUGUCCGGAAUUAUUGGGGCGUAGAGCGCGCGCAGGCGGUUCUUUAAGUCUGAUGUGAAAGCCCACGGGCUCAACCGUGGGAGGGUCAUUGGAAACUGGAGAACUUGAGUACAGAAGAGGAAAGCGGAAUUCCACGUGUAGCGGUGAAAUGCGUAGAGAUGUGGAGGAACACCAGUGGCGAAGGCGGCUUUCUGGUCUGUAACUGACGCUGAGGCGCGAAAGCGUGGGGAGCAAACAGGAUUAGAUACCCUGGUAGUCCACGCCGUAAACGAUGAGUGCUAAGUGUUAGGGGGUUUCCGCCCCUUAGUGCUGCAGCUGACGCAUUAAGCACUCCGCCUGGGGAGUACGGCCGCAAAGGCUG
rnacentral:rRNA from 1 species